AGUGAACGCUGGCGGUAGGCCUAACACAUGCAAGUCGAACGGCAGCACAGUAAGAGCUUGCUCUUACGGGUGGCGAGUGGCGGACGGGUGAGGAAUACAUCGGAAUCUACUUUUUCGUGGGGGAUAACGUAGGGAAACUUACGCUAAUACCGCAUACGACCUACGGGUGAAAGCAGGGGAUCUUCGGAACUUGCGCGAUUGAAUGAGACGAUGUCGGAUUAGCUAGUUGGCGGGGUAAAGGCCCACCAAGGCGACGAUCCGUAGCUGGUCUGAGAGGAUGAUCAGCCACACUGGAACUGAGACACGGUCCAGACUCCUACGGGAGGCAGCAGUGGGGAAUAUUGGACAAUGGGCGCAAGCCUGAUCCAGCCAUACCGCGUGGGUGAAGAAGGCCUUCGGGUUGUAAAGCCCUUUUGUUGGGAAAGAAAAGCAGCAGGUUAAUACCCCGCUGUUCUGACGGUACCCAAAGAAUAAGCACCGGCUAACUUCGUG
rnacentral:rRNA from 1 species